CCUCUGGAGGACAAAGUUGCGCGCAGACUUGCCCCUUGGAUUGGCCACAUCAUGGCCGCCCCUGGGAGGGCUGUUCUGGUUAAGGCGGUUCUCACCGCCAUAGAUAUCUACAACAUUACUUCGCUGAUCCUGCCAGCGGAGGUGAUGAAGCGUAUUGAUGCCUUACGACAGGCAUUCCUUUGGGCCGGUUGCGACAAAGCCACUGGUGGCAAGUGUAAAAUCAAUUGG
rnacentral:rRNA from 1 species